rnacentral:rRNA from 1 species
AGAGUUUGGAUCCUGGCUCAGAGUGAACGCUGGCGGCAGGCCUAAUACAUGCAAGUCGAACGGCAGCACAGCAGAGCUUGCUCUGUGGGUGGCGAGUGGCGGACGGGUGAGGAAUACAUGGGAAUCUGCCCAGUCGUGGGGGAUAACGUAGGGAAACUUACGCUAAUACCGCAUGCGCCCUUCGGGGGAAAGCCGGGGACCGUAAGGCCUGGCGCGAUUGGAUGAGCCCAUGUCGGAUUAGCUAGUUGGCGGGUAAAGGCCCACCAAGGCGACGAUCCGUAGCUGGUCUGAGAGGAUGAUCAGCCACACUGGAACUGAGACACGGUCCAGACUCCUACGGGAGGCAGCAGUAGGGAAUAUUGGACAAUGGGCGCAAGCCUGAUCCAGCCAUGCCGCGUGAGUGAAGAAGGCCCUCGGGUUGUAAAGCUCUUUUGUCCGGAAAGAAAAGCGCCGGGUUAAUACCCUGGUGUCCUGACGGUACCGGAAGAAUAAGCACCGGCUAACUUCGUG